rnacentral:lncRNA from 1 species
GUUUUGGUUCAGACAGAAGAGCUCCAGGCUUUGGAACUUUUUGGGAUAACUAAGUUGGUCGAUGUCACUCGAGAAAAUGGAAAAGGAGAAGGAAAUCGUCAUUAAAUUUAUGAUUGGGCGUAGGUAAGGUUACUAGCACCAAGCUUCAUGUUUUAUAGAAAAAAAAGGACUCCACAAAGCUUCAGAUUAUUGUUAUGAUGUGAUUUUGCAAGAUUUUUGUAAUUAUUUAAUUGCUCAAUCUAAAAGACAAAUUUCACUCAACUCUACUUUGGAAUAAUGAGAUUACUGAUUAUUUAGACCUAUUUAACUUUUGUAAAUAAGUGCACUCACUUUGGAAUAAUGAGAUUUGUCAUAAUUUCGACAAUGGUACUCAUGGUGGUUUCAGGUCCAUGGACAUUGUCAGAACUUUAUUCCAGUAUAUUGUUUCCAGAUCUCAUGUUUAUUCAAGUCACCAAGGUAGUCCACAAGAAUUUGUUUACUUUCUUGGAUAUUUUGUGGAAAGGCAUCCUUUUACUAGAGCUAUAGAUUUUGGAAAUGUUCCAGCUUGGUUACUUUUGAUGGAUUUAGAAUAUGGUCCAAUUUGAUCACUUUUGAGACUCAGUUAGAAUAGAUAAAUGCUGUUUCUUCUCCAUAUAGUUCCUAAGCAGAAAAGCCUCAUAUGCAGGUUGGAGACACUGGCGUGAAGAUGUCGUGAGUUAUCUGUAAGGGCAUUGUGGUGGCGUGCUCCUCCAUUUCUCCUGCGAGUUCUUCGUGUGGCAGUCAUGGCCCCAUAAGCAGCGCUUCAAGGUCGGUUAAGCCUGAAUAAUUAUCAAGUCUACUGCAACCAUUCAUGUUUAGGAUUGUUCACUGGUUUUAGAAUAGACACUCCCUUAAGUAUAUUUGAUCACAAUUAAAAGGAGGAAGUCAGAUUAUUGCAAUGUUAGUGCCCGAACUCAGAGGCUUGGUCCACUAUCACUUGCUCCUCCUGCCACUGUGUCAUAAUAUCUCCUUUUCAUAUAAGAUGAUUGUAACUGAAUGAUCAUAUUAGGAGUGUGUUAUUGGCAGCCUUGUGAUGUUCUUCAUAACUCGUGCUCCUGUUUUUAAUGUUUGUAUUUCUCUUUGUUUCAAGGUGGCUGCAGGUAAAGUUGUCAAGUCGAUCUGGUGCUUGCUCGAGCCGUUGAUUACUGCUGCUUUGCUAAGGUUCAAGGUCUUACUUCAGUAGAAAUUUAUUCCAAUGCUUGCUCAAUCCUUUUUCCAUGAUGACUACCAGAGGAACCUUCGAUGUGUACAGAUGGUAAUGGAUAUGGGGACUGACAAGAACUAGCGAACUUGAUAUCAGAUGCCCUGAACUAUCAAUUCUUUAAUUAUUGGAGGCUUUUGUAUUGAUAUAUCAAUACAAGGUGGGAUAAGAUGCAGGUGAAUGCCUUUAUUUUGUUUCUUUACGAUCUUCUCCUCUAUUUGAUGAUAGAUGCAAAAAAAUAUCGUGUGGCACUGGCUUUCUAAUUACAUACUCCCCCCGUAAAGAAAUAUAAGAGCAUUUGGAUUCAAACGCUUUUAUAUUUCUUUACAGAGGAGUACAAACUAAAUGUGGAGAAGUACUCCCUUUGUCUCAAAAUUCUUGUCUUAGAUUUGUCUAGAUACGGGUGUAUCUAACACUAAAACGUAACUAGAUACAUCCGUAUUUAGACAAAUAUAAGACAAGAAUUUUGGGACGGAGGGAGUAUAUAUGUUUAUUAUCUGGUAAGUGAACUGAAUCACCUUGGUAUAGAAAUCCUAUCCGCUUUUGUCGGAGGCACUGUAAUAAUCUGAAGGAAGCCUUUUUUAUUUCCAAGUUGAUCAACUACACAACUUCUGAUCAUAAAUCCUUUCUUUAAGGGGGGCUGGUCAAUACAGGUCUAUAUUGUGUUAUCUUGCUAUUGGGCUCUUUUUUAUUUUCUUAAAAUGGUCAGAUAUCACUCAUGUUUAAUUCGUGGUUGACUGCGUAUAUCCAAAAUAAUUAUGUUAGUACACUGACGUUAAUUUCUACAUUUUUACCGAAGUUGGCUAAAUAGUUUUUUGUGCUACUGAGAUAUAUAUGUGCUCUAAAUAGUUUUUUGUGCUACUCAGAAGUAAUUUAGUAUAGAUGUUUUUAUAGGAAUUGGUUGUUUAACCCUCUCAUAUAGCCAGUUCGGAUUAGUGGUUCAGGUUAGCACUCCUGUGUGUAUAGUUGAUAUCACAUAUGCUAAUGAUUCUGGUUGUAAGUUCAGAGGUAAUUUAUUAUACAUGUUUUGACAGGAAGUCGAAAGAAGUGCUAAUACCUUGUCAACUUUUGGUAAUUUUCCCUGUGAUUAAGCUUGUGCCUAGCUGACUUGUAAGGUUCCGCACAUUUAAGCCUGGUCAGGCUUUCCUCACACAUGUACUCUUAUUUGAUUGCACACUUCUUUUGGUUAUUAAUUUGUUACCAAGGAACCAUGGCACAGUAAUGUGCUUCAAGUUUUCCAUAUGAAUAAGAACUAUACUCUUUUUCUGCGAUUUUAAAGCAUUUCCAGACCUAUCAAGGCCAAGGUGCUAGCCAAUUUUAAUUUCAUCCUUAUGAGGAUGAAUCGACAAGUGUUCACGAAAGGGUGAAGGUGAAUAACAAGGGCACCGCUCUCUGUUGAUGCACACCCAUGGUUUGCUUGCCACGAUGCAACGACAAGAUGUUCUCGAUAG